GGAGGCUUUGAAGCGUGGACGCCAGUCUGCGUGGAGCCGACCUUGAAAUACCACCCUUUAAUGUUUGAUGUUCUAACGUGGACCCGUGAUCCGGGUUGCGGACAGUGUCUGGUGGGUAGUUUGACUGGGGCGGUCUCCUCCUAAAGAGUAACGGAGGAGCACGAAGGUUGGCUAAUCCUGGUCGGACAUCAGGAGGUUAGUGCAAUGGCAUAAGCCAGCUUGACUGCGAGCGUGACGGCGCGAGCAGGUGCGAAAGCAGGUCAUAGUGAUCCGGUGGUUCUGAAUGGAAGGGCCAUCGCUCAACGGAUAAAAGGUACUCCGGGGAUAACAGGCUGAUACCGCCCAAGAGUUCAUAUCGACGGCGGUGUUUGGCACCUCGAUGUCGGCUCAUCACAUCCUGGGGCUGAAGUAGGUCCCAAGGGUAUGGCUGUUCGCCAUUUAAAGUGGUACGCGAGCUGGGUUUAGAACGUCGUGAGACAGUUCGGUCCCUAUCUGCCGUGGGCGCUGGAGAACUGAGGGGGGCUGCUCCUAGUACGAGAGGACCGGAGUGGACGCAUCACUGGUGUUCGGGUUGUCAUGCCAAUGGCACUGCCCGGUAGCUAAAUGCGGAAGAGAUAAGUGCUGAAAGCAUCUAAGCACGAAACUUGCCCCGA
rnacentral:rRNA from 1 species